rfam:Oryza punctata chromosome 11, whole genome shotgun sequence.
UAUUAGUGCAGUUUUGCACUGUUCAUAUCCAACGUCUGACCGUCCGCCUUAUUUAAAUUUUUUUAUAAUUAGUAUUUUUGUUGUUAUUAGAUGAUAAAACAUGAAUAAUAGUUUAUGUGUGACUAAUUUUUUUUAAUUUUUUCAUAAACUUUUUAAAUAAGACGGACGGUCAAACGUUGGACACGGAUAUUUAUAGCUACGCUUGUA